rnacentral:snRNA from 1 species
GUGUUCACUUCAGCAGCACAUAUACUCAAAUUGGAAUGAUAUAGAGAAAAUUAGCAUGGCCACAUCUAUAAGGAUGACAUGCAAAUUUGUGAAGCUGUCCAUUUUUUA